UACGGAGGGUGCAAGCGUUAUCCGGAUUCACUGGGUUUAAAGGGUGCGUAGGCGGGCAGGUAAGUCAGUGGUGAAAUCUCCGAGCUUAACUCGGAAACUGCCAUUGAUACUAUUUGUCUUGAAUAUUGUGGAGGUAAGCGGAAUAUGUCAUGUAGCGGUGAAAUGCUAGAUAUGACAUAGAACACCAAUUGCGAAGGCAGCUUACUACACAAUGAUUGACGCUGAGGCACGAAAGCGUGGGGAUCAAACAGG
rnacentral:rRNA from 1 species